rnacentral:snRNA from 1 species
GUGCUCACUUCUGCAGCACAUAUACUAAAACUGGAACAAUAUAGAGAAGAUUAGCAUGACCCCUGGGCAAGGAUGACAUGCAAAUUCAUGAAGUGUUCCAUAUUUAA